UACGUAGGGUGCGAGCGUUAAUCGGAAUUACUGGGCGUAAAGCGUGCGCAGGCGGUCUUGUAAGCCAGAUGUGAAAUCCCCGGGCUUAACCUGGGAAUGGCAUUUGGGACUGCAGCGCUAGAGUGUGUCAGAGGGAGGUAGAAUUCCACGUGUAGCAGUGAAAUGCGUAGAGAUGUGGAGGAAUACCGAUGGCGAAGGCAGCCUCCUGGGAUAACACUGACGCUCAUGCACGAAGCGUGGGGAGCAAACAGG
rnacentral:rRNA from 1 species